rnacentral:lncRNA from 1 species
UUUUAUUCUUUUUAAAACUGUUACAUUGAUGAAAUGGUAGAAUUUUUAGAGUUAAAAAGCAUUUCCUAUUUAAUGAGGGCAGUGAGUGAAAGAAACUAACGCAUGUAGAACAAAAGUAGCAUGGCUUGAUGUGUGAAACUUUAAUCCUUUUCCUGUUUUUGCUAACUUUCGAAUUUAUGGUGUCUGAUACAUUUUAUUCACUUUUACAGGCCCUAGAUGGUCAAAAUAUUUAUAAUGCUUGCUGUACCCUAAGGAUUGAUUUUUCCAAACUUGUGAAUUUGAAUGUAAAAUACAACAAUGAUAAAAGUAGGGAUUAUACACGACCUGAUCUUCCAUCUGGAGACGGCCAGCCUGCAUUAGACCCAGCUAUUGCUGCAGCAUUUGCCAAGGAGACGUCCCUUUUAGCUGUCCCAGGAGCUCUCAGUCCUUUGGCUAUUCCUAAUGCUGCUGCGGCAGCUGCUGCCGCUGCCGCUGGCCGAGUGGGCAUGCCUGGAGUCUCAGCUGGUGGCAACACAGUCCUGUUGGUUAGCAAUUUAAAUGAAGAGGUGUUUAUGGCGAUGUGCAGCGCGUGAAGAUUUUGUACAAUAAGAAAGACAGUGCUCUGAUACAAAUGGCCGAUGGGAACCAGUCACAGCUUGCCAUGAAUCAUCUUAAUGGGCAGAAGAUGUAUGGAAAAAUUAUUCGUGUUACUCUCUCUAAACAUCAGACUGUGCAACUACCUCGAGAGGGACUUGAUGAUCAAGGGCUAACAAAAGAUUUUGGGAAUUCACCCCUGCACCGUUUUAAAAAACCGGGAUCCAAAAACUUUCAGAACAUUUUCCCUCCUUCUGCAACCCUUCACCUGUCCAACAUCCCUCCUUCUGUAGCAGAAGAGGAUCUGCGAACUCUGUUUGCCAACACCGGGGGCACUGUGAAAGCAUUUAAGUUUUUUCA